ensembl:lncRNA
CUGAUAUGAAGGUCCAAGGUGAUUCUAUGUGGACGUUUCUCCAGGUUUCAUGGCUCGGCUUGACCUCCUCACGCACAAACGCAUGAGGACCGUCACCGACUACUUCCUGGCUCCCUGAUGGGAAGCUUCUGGAUGCUGGUUUGCAACGUUCUUGAAGAGUUAAAGCAAACACGAGGGACAGAAGGAGGAGAAGGACUCCUGAACAGGACGCCAUGGACCACAUCAUUCUGGGCACAAAAGACAAAUCUUCUCUACAAGAACAAUGUAUUGCUGCAUUUAAAGGAGGAGAUCUAUGCUCGUGGGUCACCAGCCGACCUCGACACGCUGAUUGAACUGGCGAUCCGCCUCGAUCGAUGCUUUCAACAACGGCGACGAGCCCGCGCUGCUGCUCCGACACCUCGAGAGUCAUUUCCCUCCUUAUCUCCUGAGCCUGAGCCCAUGCAGCUGGGUGGCAUUCGCCUUCAGCCGGAGGAGAAACAACGCCGCCUCUCUAACAGACUGUGCCUUUAUUGCGGUGCGGCGGGCCACUUUGGUGCUUCCUGUCUGGCAAAAGACAGAGCUCGCCAGUAGACUGGCGUACUGGCGAGCGCGGCUGUGUCUUCAUCCUCAUCAAGAUCUCGUACUACUCUCCCCGCCGUUCUUCGGUGGGCUGGCACAUCUGUCUCCUGUCUGGCGCUGAUCGACUCGGGGGCAGAGGGAAACUUCCUAGAUGAGAGAUGGGCUCGGGAACACAACAUCCACCCCUGGUGGAUUUAGAAAAGAGUACCACCAUCUUUUCCCUGGACGGUGGAGCUCUGUCUGAUGUUCGUCAGGUCACCAGUCCGGUGAGUCUGACUGUCUCCGGAAACCACCAAGAGACUAUUUCUUUUUUCAUUUUCCAUUCCUCCUAUUCCCCCAUUUUUUUAGGAAACCCCUGGCUUGUCCAGCAUAAUCCCCAUAUUAACUGGGUCAGAAAUACUAUUUUGUCUUGGAGUCUUUCGUGUCAUGGUAACUGCUUAGUGUCUGCUAUCCCUGCUGUUUCUUCUCUCUGUUUCUUAGGAGGAGCCCGGUGAUCUGAAUGGAGUACCGGAGAAUUACCAUGAUUUGCGGGCGUUUUUUUUCAGCCGUUCCCGGGCCGUCUCCCUACCGCCUCACCGCCCUUAUGACUGUAGCAUUGACCUCCUUCCUGGCACCACGCCCCCCCCCCGCGGUAGACUAUACUCCCUCUCAUCACCCGAACGAGAAGCGUUAGAG